CUGGAGAGUAGUUGGCCAGCCAGGGUGACAGCUUGGAGAGGUCACGCCUGCCGCCCAGAUCACGCGUCAUCUGGUUCAGCAGCUGCGCUAUCUUCCGCGCCUCCCCAUCAAACGACCUGCGCUCAGAAUCAUGUACCCACAUGAGCUUAUGCGGCAUUGUAAGAAGUGCUGCUUUGGGUCUUUCUAUCAACGACUAAUGUUUGUUUGCCUAUUCUGGACGUGUCUUGGUGAGCAAGAGACUGUGUACCAGUGCUCGUCUGUGGAAUGUAUAUAUUGGUGUGCCCCGCGCAAAAUUCUCCUUGAGGCAAGCUCAAUUUUAGUGCGGGCGUCUGAAGCCACCCUCUGGGCAGUGCCACCGAGCAGCAUCACAGCAGCAUUUGAUUUUACAUCUAUGAUACACAUCAUAGAUAAAUUAUGGAUGAUGCAGGGGGGCACCUGGCGUCCAGCUUGGAGCCUUCGGGGCCGAACGCAUCGCGGAAGAUCUUGUCAGCCUUGGCCGCGGCGGCAGAGUUGUAGGUGGCGGCUGCCGGGCUGUUGCGCUCGGCUCUGCCCACCAGGUGGCGACCCACCAUGUCUGGGUACACCUCCUCCCUGUAAAGCCGCACCGCCUCCGCCU
rnacentral:lncRNA from 1 species